rnacentral:rRNA from 1 species
UACGUAGGGCGCAAGCGUUAUCCGGAAUUAUUGGGCGUAAAGAGCUCGUAGGCGGUUUGUCGCGUCUGCCGUGAAAGUCCGGGGCUCAACUCCGGAUCUGCGGUGGGUACGGGCAGACUAGAGUGAUGUAGGGGAGACUGGAAUUCCUGGUGUAGCGGUGAAAUGCGCAGAUAUCAGGAGGAACACCGAUGGCGAAGGCGGAUCUCUGGGCCGAUACUGACGCUGAGGAGCGAAAGCGUGGGGAGCGAACAGG